UACAGGGGGGGCAAGCGUUGUUCGGAAUUACUGGGCGUAAAGGGCUUGUAGGUGGCCAAUUAAGUCAGACGUGAAAUCCCUCAGCUUAACUGGGGAACUGCGUCUGAUACUGGAUGGCUUGAGUUUGGGAGAGGGAUGCGGAAUUCCAGGUGUAGCGGUGAAAUGCGUAGAUAUCUGGAGGAACACCGGUGGCGAAGGCGGCAUCCUGGACCAACACUGACACUGAGGAGCGAAAGCCAGGGGAGCAAACGGG
rnacentral:rRNA from 1 species